AUUUAGGCCGGCUCUUGAGGAGAAAAUUGCAAUAAUAAUCAGUGAUUGCAACACGUUUUAGAAAAAUGAGAGAUUGAAAAAUAGAUUUACUGUGUUCACCAACAGAUUCACUGAAAACUAAGAGACAGUCCUGGAGUGUGGUCUAGCAAAGAAGAUGAUUCACCUGCAGAUAAUUUAGAAUGUUCCGUGGUUUUUGCUCUGAUGGAGUGUGAGGAGAUGAGAUGGGGAGCAUUAACUAUUGGAAGGAUUCAUUUUAAGGACAUAUUAUAUCAGGAUCUAGAUAGAUAUCAGAGCAUCUUGGGAGAAAUAGGAAACAGGUGCAGAAACAGGGUUUCUCCUGUUGUGGCCUCAGAGCUGUUGGUUUUCUUCUGCCUCGUCCACUUCUCCAGGCAGAAGUACAUCAGUGGUUGAUUUCCCCAGAGCAAGAAAAGAAGCAGUAAAAGAUUUGAAGGGAUACGUGGUAGUGAUGCAGGGAAACGUGCCUCGAAGCUGCAGAACUGUGGGCUGGUGGGGACACCGCUUCAU